rnacentral:rRNA from 1 species
AUUGAACGCUGGCGGCAGGCUUAACACAUGCAAGUCGAGGGGCAGCACGAAUAGCAAUAUUUGGUGGCGACCGGCGCACGGGUGCGUAACACGUAUACAACCUACCUAUAACAGGGGGAUAGCCUUUCGAAAGAGAGAUUAAUACUCCGUAAUAAAUUUGAUGGCAUCAUUAGAUUUUGAAAGCUCCGGCGGUUAUAGAGGGGUAUGCGUCUGAUUAGCUAGUUGGUGAGGUAACGGCUAACCAAGGCGACGAUCAGUAGGGGAUCUGAGAGGACUAACCCCCACACUGGUACUGAGACACGGACCAGACUCCUACGGGAGGCAGCAGUAAGGAAUAUUGGUCAAUGGAGGCAACUCUGAACCAGCCAUGCCGCGUGCAGGAUGACGGCCCUAUGGGUUGUAAACUGCUUUUGUACCAGAGAAAACCCCAGUACGUGUACUGGGUUGAUAGUAUGGUAAGAAUAAGCAUCGGCUAACUUCGUGCCAGCAGCCGCAGUAAGAC